rnacentral:misc_RNA from 1 species
GAGAAGAACGCAGCGAAAUGCGAUAAGUAGUGUGAAUUGCAGAAUUCAGUGAAUCAUCGAAUCUUUGAACGCACAUUGCGCCCCUUGGUAUUCCAUGGGGCAUGCCUGUUCGAGCGUCAUUUGUACCUUCAAGCUUUGCUUGGUGUUGGGUGUUUGUCUCGCCUCCGCGUGUAGACUCGCCUCAAAACAAUUGGCAGCCGGCGUAUUGAUUUCGGAGCGCAGUACAUCUCGCGCUUUGCACUCACAACGACGACGUCCAAAAGUACAUUUUUACACUCUUGACCUCGGAUCAGGUAGGGAUACCCGCUGAACUUAAGCAUAUCAAUAAGCGGAGGA